GAUGAACGCUAGCGGCAGGCUUAACACAUGCAAGUCGAGGGGCAGCACGGGUAGCAAUACCUGGUGGCGACCGGCGCAAGGGUGCGUAACGCGUGAGCAACAUGCCCUAUACAGGGGGAUAAUCCAGGGAAACUUGGUCUAAUAUCCCAUAGUAUUUAGAGGAGGCAUCUUCUAUAAAUUAAAGCUUCGGUGGUAUAGGAUUGGCUCGCGUGACAUUAGCUAGAUGGUGAGGUAACGGCUCACCAUGGCAAUGAUGUCUAGGGGUUCUGAGAGGAAGGCCCCCCACACUGGAACUGAGACACGGUCCAGACUCCUACGGGAGGCAGCAGUGAGGAAUAUUGGACAAUGGAUGGAAAUCUGAUCCAGCCAUGCCGCGUGCAGGAAGGCGGCCCUAUGGGUUGUAAACUGCUUUUGUACGGGAGCAAUAAGGUCUACGAGUAGAUUGAUGAGAGUACUGUACGAAUAAGCAUCGGCUAACUCCG
rnacentral:rRNA from 1 species